UAAUUUGAUAAUCCGCAAAAAACCUUACCACAGCUUGAAUAUUUAUAUUUUCAUAUAUUUACAAGCGUUGCAUGGCUGUCUUCAGUUAAUGUCGUGAGACUUUGGUUAGAUCCAUUAAAUUAACGUAAGCCCUUACUUUAUUUACAAAUAAAGUAGUUCCCCACUAUAUUGGAUAUGAUAACAGGGACUAAGACAAGUCCUCAUGGCCUUAAUGCUGU
rnacentral:rRNA from 1 species